GAUGAACGCUGGCGGCGUGCUUAACACAUGCAAGUCGAACGGAAAGGCCCGCUUGCGGGUACUCGAGCAGCGAACGGGUGAGUAACAUGUGGGCAACCUGCCCUCAGCUCUGGGAUAACUCCGGGAAACCGGUGCUAAUGCUGGAUAUGACUGCGCAUCGCAGGGUGUGUGGGGGAAAGUUUUUCGGCUGGGGAUGGGCCCGCGGCCUAGCCGCUGUUUGGUGGGGUUAUGGCCUACCAAGGCGACGACGGGUCGCCGGCCUGAGAGGGCGACCGGCCACACUGGGACUGAGACACGGCCCAGACUCCUACGGGAGGCAGCAGUGGGAAAUAUUGCGCGAUGGGCGAAAGCCUGACGCAGCGACGCCGCGUGAGGGAUGACUGCCUUCGGGUUGUAAACCUCUUUCAGCGCUGACGAAGCGAAAGUGACGGUAGGAGCAGAAGAAGCACCGGCCAACUACGUGCCAGCAGCCGCAGUAA
rnacentral:rRNA from 1 species